GUGCCAGCCGCCGCGGUAACACCGGCGGCUCGAGUGGUAACCGUUAUUAUUGGGUCUAAAGGGUCUGUAGCCGGCCGGAUAAGUCUCUUGAGAAAUCUGGCAGCUUAACUGUCAGGCUUUCAGGAGAUACUGUCUGGCUCGAGGCCGGGAGAGGUGAGAGGUACUUCAGGGGUAGGGGUGAAAUCUUGUAAUCCUUGAAGGACCACCAGUGGCGAAGGCGUCUCACCAGAACGGACCUGACGGCAAGGGACGAAAGCUAGGGGCACGAACCGGAUUAGAUACCCGGGUAGUCCUAGCCGUAAACGAUACUCGCUAGGUGUCGGCCACGGUGCGACCGUUGUCGGUGCCGUAGGGAAGCCG
rnacentral:rRNA from 1 species